GUGGGGAAUCUUGCGCAAUGGGGGAAACCCUGACGCAGCCAUGCCGCGUGAAUGAUGAAGGUCUUAGGAUUGUAAAAUUCUUUCAGCGGGGACGAUAAUGACGGUACCCGCAGAAGAAGCUCCGGCUAACUUCGUGCCAGCAGCCGCGGUAAUACGAAGGGGGCUAGCGUUGCUCGGAAUUACUGGGCGUAAAGGGCGCGUAGGCGGACAGUUAAGUCAGAGGUGAAAUCCCAGGGCUCAACCCUGGAAUUGCCUUUGAUACUGGCUGUCUUGAGUAUGGGAGAGGUAAGCGGAACUCCGAGUGUAGAGGUGAAAUUCGUAGAUAUUCGGAAGAACACCAGUGGCGAAGGCGGCUUACUGGCCCAUUACUGACGCUGAGGCGCGAAAGCGUGGGGAGCAAACAGGAUUAGAAACCCUUGUAGUCC
rnacentral:rRNA from 1 species